AGAGUUUCAUCCUGGCUCAGAAUCAACGCUGGCGGCGUGCCUAACACAUGCAAGUCGAACGAGGAAAUGGAGCAAUCCAUGAGUACAGUGGCGACCGGGUGAGUAACACGUGACUACCUACCCUCGAGUGGGGGAUAACUCCGGGAAACCGGAGCUAAUACCGCAUAACAUCGCAAGAUCAAAGCAGCAAUGCGCUUGAGGAGGGGGUCGCGGCUGAUUAGCUAGUUGGCGGGGUAACGGCCCACCAAGGCGAAGAUCGGUAGCCGGCCUGAGAGGGCGCACGGCCACACUGGAACUGAAACACGGUCCAGACUCCUACGGGAGGCAGCAGUGGGGAAUUUUGCGCAAUGGGGGAAACCCUGACGCAGCAACGCCGCGUGUAGGAUGAAGUCCCUUGGGACGUAAACUCCUUCGGCCAAGACGAUGAUGACGGUACUGGGAAGAAGCCCGA
rnacentral:rRNA from 1 species